UACGUAGGGAGCAAGCGUUGUCCGGAAUUAUUGGGCGUAAAGCGCGCGUAGGUGGCUUCGUAAGUCCGUUGUGAAAGUCAAAGGCUCAACCUUUGAAAGCCGAUGGAUACUGCGGAGCUAGAGUACGGAAGAGGCGAGUGGAAUUCCUGGUGUAGCGGUGGAAUGCGCAGAUAUCAGGAGGAACACCAAUAGCGAAGGCAGCUCGCUGGGACGUUACUGACACUGAGGCGCGAAAGCGUGGGGAGCAAACAGG
rnacentral:rRNA from 1 species